UCAUUAAUCAACGGAUAAUAACCUUUUUGUUAAUUCAAAAUUAUAUGAUUUAUCGUUAUUAUUUAGCAUUAUCUACAAUAAUAAUGAUUUAUCUCUAAUCAACUAAAAGUUGUUCCAAAAACUUAUAUACCAAAAAACAAGACUAUCUAGAGCAUUGUGUAUGAAUCAAACAUAUUUUUAAACAUUCCAAAAAGAUGAAUAUUCAUUUUAAUAUAGUUUAUAAUUGGGUACAUUUUAAUUCGGGGUUGGUACGUUUUCGUUUGAUGUUGGUACAUUUUCAUUUAAUAUUGGUAUGUUUCCAUUUGGCGUGGAUGUACAUUUAGAUUUGAAAAGUUUACAUUUUUAGACUUAAAUAUAGUUUAAAUUAUUUAAAAUAUAUAGCAGAUAUUUAAAUGUAAAUUAAUUUCAAUUAAUCUGAAGUAGUUCAAGUCUGAGUAUCUUAAUCAAAUGUUUCAAAAGUUUAAUCAAAAACUCAAAAAGCAUAAAUGUUUAGUCUACAAAAGUCUAAAAUGAGGCAUCUAAUUCUAA
rnacentral:lncRNA from 1 species